UACAGAGGGUGCGAGCGUUAAUCGGAAUUACUGGGCGUAAAGCGUGCGUAGACGGCUAUCUAAGUCGGGUGUGAAAGCCCCGGGCUCAACCUGGGAAUUGCAUUCGAGACUGAAUAGCUAGGGUGCGGUAGAGGGAAGCGGAAUUUCCGGUGUAGCGGUGAAAUGCGUAGAUAAUCGGAAGGAACAUCAGUGGCGAAAGCGGACUUCCUGGACCA
rnacentral:rRNA from 1 species